GGGCGCACUACGGGGGCUAAGGAAGGAAGAAAUGUGGUCGCGGUUGGUGUGGCUGGGCCUUCGGGCCCCUCUGGGCGGGCGCCAGGGCUUCACGUCCAAGGCGGAUCCUCAGGGCAGUGGCCGGAUCACGGCCCAGGUGAUCGAGCACCUGGAGCGUCUAGCGCUUGUGGACUUCGGCAGCUGCGAGGCAGUGGCGCGACUGGAGAAAGCUAUCGCCUUCGCCGACCAGCUACGUGCGGUGGACACUGACGGGGUGGAGCCCAUGGAGUCGGUCCUGGAGGACAGCUUGGAGUGCAAUGGUGCAAUCUCCGCUCACUACAAACUCUGCUUCCCACAUUCAAGUGAUUCUUGUGCCUCAGUCUCUCGGGUAACUGAGAUUACAGAUGUCUAUACCUGAGAUCCGACAAUGUGGUAGAAGGCAAUUGUGCUGAUGAAUUACUACAAAACUCCCAUCGAGUCGUGGAGGAGUAUUUUGUGGCCCCCCCAGGUAAUAUCUCUUUGCCAAAGCUGGAUGAACAAGAGCCAUUCCCACACAGCUGAGUAGCUCAUUCUGGAAAGCGGGUACUCUGUGACCAUGUGGAAGCACAAUGACAGUAUUUUCUUACUGUGAACACUAAUGUUCCUGCUUUUUUCAGUCACCUGAAAAAAUGGAUGCUCAAGCAUUUCUUAACAGAUUCUUCUGAAGACACAAUUGGGAAACAUCGGGCCCCAAAAAUGAGUUCCUGAUGCUAACUGAGGUGAAAGGAAAAGCAAAAGUCAGCUUCCAGGGAAUUCACUUAACAAGCCUGUUCAGUAUGGAAGACAUUAUUUAUCUGCCUUUAACUCCCCCCAAAGGACUGUUCCAACUGCAUGAAAGUGUCUUCUAUCUACGUAACUGGUAGAUGGAGCAUCUUGAUCACUAUAUGACAACCCUGGCUGUCAUUUUUAGUUGCCUAUCUGCAGUGAUUUGAGCAGCCCUAUUUUUACCGAACAUACCUGAAUUUGUUCUUGGGCUUCCACUCUCUUUCUAGAAAAGGGCUAACUUCCUACUAAGGUCUGAAGAGUGUUCAAAGUAGACUAGAGCUUGGGAACUCCUAAUCUAGAACUAUCUGCCAUCCCACAAAGUGAUUAUAUGCCAAAGGGAUACUAGUCAUACCUAGUGUUUCUUUCGGAAAAGAGAACUUAUCCUAAAAUUAGCCCUGGGUCUGGGAAAAAGGAGCCCUCUCCACCCCCAAAAUGAUUAUUAAAUUGAGAUAAGUCCAAGAUAAAACUCAGGAUACCAAGGAUAAAUGAAACUUAUUUAGGGAUAAAAGUG